GAUGAACGCUGGCGGCGUGCCUAAUACAUGCAAGUCGAGCGAACAGACCAGGAGCUUGCUCCUCUGACGUUAGCGGCGGACGUGUGAGUAACACGUGUAUAACCUACCUAUAAGACUGAGAUAACUUCGGGAAACCGUAGCUAAUACCGUAUAAUAUAUUGAACCGCAUGGUUCAAUAGUGAAAGACGGUUUUGCUGUCACUGAUAGAGAGAUCCGCGCCGCAUUAGCUAGUUGGUAAGGUAACGGCUUACCAAGUCAACGAUGCGUAGCCGACCUGAGAGAGUGAUCGGCCACACUGGGAGUGAGACACGGUCCAGACUCCUACGGGGGGCAGCAGUAGGGAACCUUGCGCAAUGGGCGAAAGCAUGACGGAGCAACGCGGCGUGAGUGAUGAAGGCAUUCGGAUCGUAAAGCUGUGUUAUUAGGGAAGAACAACUGUGUAAGUAAGUAUGCAAGUCUUGACGGUACCUAAUCAGAAAGCCACGGCUAACUACGUG
rnacentral:rRNA from 1 species